AUGGUUUAGUGCCAUCCACUUGGUGCUGUCCAUAGUGAGUUUUUAUGAGAUCUGGUUGUUGUAAAGUGUAAAGUGUGGCACCCUCCCUGCCUCCUUGCUCCUGCAUUCUCCAUGUGAUGUUCCUGUUCUAGCUUCACCUUUUGCCACGAGUAAGAGCUCCCUGAGGCCUCCUCAGAAGCCAAGCAGAUGCCAACACUAUGUUUUCUCUACAGCCUGCAGAACCAUGAGCUGAUUGGACCUCUUUUCUUCGUAAAUUACCCAGUGUCAGAGAAAUUUCUGGCAAGAACUUCUGGCAGUCUCCUGUUUCCCAGAUGCCCGGCUCCUCACUGACGUGCACAUAACAGCAAAUCUAUAACAAUCCUCCUUCCAAUUACAUCAGGUGGUGGGGGGGGGGGCGCGAGCAGGAGGGCAUAAGAAGGUCAGUACCCUAGAAGGCAGCCUCAUUUACUCAUCCACUAAGAAAAUAAUGACUGAACACCUACCAGGUUCCAGGCACUUGGGAAAAGGCAGUGAGCAAGACUGAUGAAGGCCCCAGCCCGCAAAGCCUCAUAUUCAAAAGCUGGGACAGAGAUGAGAGAAAAGUAAAGAAAUAAACAAGACAUCCUGGAUGGCGAUAAAUGCCAUGAAGAUAAUAAAACAGGGUUAUGUGAUAGAAAAUGGCCAGAAAUGAGGAUAGCAGGUUUGAUGGAGGUCUUUUCAAGAGGACAUGCAAUCAGGACCCAAUCAUGCAAUGAUGUGUGGGAAGAACCUUCCCAUAGGCCGGAGGGAGGGAUGGGCUUGGUUUAUGUGACAAAGGCUAAGUGGCUGUAGCAGAGAGAACUAAGGGAAGAGAAGCAGAGGCUAGAUGAUGGUGAGCCUUAUAAUCGAUUCAAAGACAUUCCAAGUAAGUGCAAAAGGAGGCCAUCAGAGGGGCCCUUGUGGACAUUGCAAUACAAUGUUGAAGUCCAAAAACAAUAGUCUAUUCAUUGACCUACCCUUAUUUCCUAAACUCUAAA
rnacentral:lncRNA from 10 species